UCAGAAAUGGACACUGAAUCUAAUAAUAACCCAACCCAGCAACUUCCAUCGUACCCUGGUCCUCAACAGCCUGCCGAUCAACUCAAAGUACAGCAUGGUCUAACUGGAUCCCCUGUCAUUAACAUCAACAACAACUCAUUACAACCCAACUCCCAAAUACUACUAAAAAGAAAGGGCUCUUUUUCAUUUUCAUGUUUAUUUGGAUCAAAAAUGGAGACUGAAUCACCAGCCACGAGCCAGCCUCAGAAGUUACCGCAUGUAUUGACUGAAGUACCUAUCAUCAAUAUUAUAAGCAACACAUUGGGAGGUACAGCAAAAAUAGUAGUCGGCUGCAUUUGCCGCAAACAUACUCGAGAAGAAAGCAAACCUUCUAUGAGCAUUGUCUCAUGUGUACUUGGAUCAAAACUGGACAAUGAAUCUUACAAUGAUGUCUUUCGAAAACUGAAUCAAAAACCUAUCGUUAAUAUCCAGGGCAAUUUGUUGUCACCCGAAGCUCAAAUAAUUAUCUGUGACGCUUCUGGCAUCCAUAUCAUAAAAGUGAAUGGGAAACCUUCUAAGAGUACUUAUUCCUUCGCCAUUUUUUCAUGUUUAAUUGGAUGCUGGCCGAGCGUAUAUUUUCCAUACUGUGCGAAAACUCGUUACAACUCGGGAAAAUAUUGUUCUAAUUGAUAUUCAUAUAAUUUAGUUCAUACUUAGAUGUUUAGGGUUAGUUUAAGUGAAACAUACAUGCAUACAUACUGAUGUUUUGAUGUUGCUGGUUGUAUUACUGCAUCAAAUUAUUAAAGUUAUGCUCCUCGACAACUUUAUACAAUUCGUAUUGGUAAUAAUCACUGUAUAAGUUUACGCAUUAGUAGCAUUUCGAUAAAAUACUUUAUUGAAAAAAUAACAUUAAUCACUUUCUUGUCUAGAUUAUAGUUUCAUUAUAAUACUUAUGUAUAUAAUUAUAAUCUAAUUGCUUUAUAAAAUGAAUUUGAGCAAUUUAAGCUAUUGAUAAGAUGUAUUCUUGAUUUGUUUAACAAAAAUAAUAUUAUUAUUCCUAAAAGCAUUGGAAAUUACAUUUUGCCAUCUGUGCUACUUGUUUUUAUAAUAAAUAGAUAUAAAGACA